AAUUUGGAUCUUCAACAGUUGC
rnacentral:siRNA from 1 species